rnacentral:rRNA from 1 species
GAUGAACGCUAGCGGCGGGCCUAACACAUGCAAGUCGAGGGGCAGCACUUCUUCGGAUGGUGGCGACCGGCGCACGGGUGCGUAACGCGUAUAGAACCUACCUUUUACGGGGGAUAGCCUUUAGAAAUGAAGAUUAAUAUCCCAUAGUAUUAUUGAAUGGCAUCAUUUAAUAAUUAAAGAUUUAUCGGUAAAAGAUGGCUAUGCGUUCUAUUAGUUAGUUGGUAAGGUAACGGCUUACCAAGACGAUGAUAGAUAGGGGUCCUGAGAGGGAGAUCCCCCACACUGGUACUGAGACACGGACUAGACUCCUACGGGAGGCAGCAGUGAGGAAUAUUGGGCAAUGGAGGAGACUCUGACCCAGCCAUGCCGCGUGUAGGAAGAAUGCCCUAUGGGUUGUAAACUACUUUUAUACAGGAAGAAACACUGGUAUGUAUACCAGCUUGACGGUACUGUAAGAAUAAGGACCGGCUAACUCCGUGCCAGCAGCCGCGGUAAUACGGAGGGUCCAAGCGUUAUCCGGAAUCAUUGGGUUUAAAGGGUCCGCAGGCGGUCGAUUAAGUCAGAGGUGAAAUUCCAUAGCUUAACUAUGGAACUGCCUUUGAUACUGGUUGACUUGAGUCAUAUGGAAGUAGAUAGAAUGUGUAGUGUAGCGGUGAAAUGCAUGGAUAUUACACAGAAUACCGAUUGCGAAGGCAGUCUACUACGUGUGUACUGACGCUCAUGGACGAAAGCGUGGGGAGCGAACAGGAUUAGAUACCCUGGUAGUCCACGCCGUAAACGAUGGAUACUAGUUGUUGGGCAAUAGUUCAGUGACUAAGCGAAAGUGAUAAGUAUCCCACCUGGGGAGUACGGUCGCAAGACUG